ACGGCUCAGUAACACGUGGAUAACCUGCCCUAUGGUGGAGAAUAACCCCGGGAAACUGGGGAUAAUACUCCAUAGAUUAGAGAUACUGGAAUGUUCUUUAAUCGAAAGUUGAGGCGCCAUAGGAUGGAUCUGCGGUCGAUUAGGUUGUUGUUGGGGUAACGGCCCAACAAGCCUGUAAUCGAUACGGGUUGUGGGAGCAAGAGCCCGGAGAUGGAAUCUGAGACACGAUUCCAGGCCCUACGGGGCGCAGCAGGCGCGAAAACUUUACAAUGCAGGAAACUGUGAUAAGGGAACCCCGAGUGCCCGUAUACGCGGGCUGUCCAGGUGUCUAAAAAGCAUCUGAAGAAAGGGCCGGGCAAGACCGGUGCCAGCCGCCGCGGUAAUACCGGCGGCUCGAGUGGUGGCCACUAUUAUUGGGCUUAAAGCGUCCGUAGCUGGACUCUUAAGUCUCUUGGGAAAUCCGCCGGCUUAACCGACGGGCGUCUAAGAGAUACUGAGAGUCUAGGGACCGGGAGAGGUGAGAGGUACUCCGGGGGUAGGAGUGAAAUCCUGUAAUCCCUGGGGGACCACCGAUGGCGAAGGCAUCUCACCAGAACGGCUCCGACAGUGAGGGACGAAAGCUGGGGGAGCGAACCGGAUUAGAUACCCGGGUAGUCCCAGCCGUAAACUAUGCGCGUUAGGUGUACUGGUGACCACGAGUCACUGGGGUGCCGAAGGGAAACCGUGAAACGUGCCGCCUGGGAAGUACGGUCGCAAGGCUGAAACUUAAAGGAAUUGGCGGGGGAGCAC
rnacentral:rRNA from 1 species